rnacentral:lncRNA from 7 species
ACUUCCUUUCCCCUCUGCAGUCUCACUGUCCCAAGCUGCUCCUGCCUCAUGGCACCAAUGGCAGUGAACCUCAUUCUCGGUGCCCCCCCAAAAAGCCUGAGGCCAUGGAGUUCCAGCUGUGUCCCCAGGUGCCUUCCAGUGACAGCGAGGGUCUGACCUACUUGGAGCUGCAAGCUGUGACCCCCAGCACACAGCCCCCCACCCCCCCGCCCCACAGCCCUCUGUUAUCUACACCGAGGUGGCCGUUGGGGGCGCCACUGAUGCCUCCAUACGUGUGCACAAACACGUGUGUGUUGUAUGCACACAUGUGCUUCCAGCAUGCACAGUGCACUUGUGUUGUGUGUGCUCACCAUCACGUGUGCACUGCAUACAGGUACCACUGCAUGUGUUCAUAUGUUACCUGCGUGUGCACCAUCACAUGUGCACAACAGUUGUACACAGAUGUGCACUCCGUGAUUAACUCCGUUCCUUUGUGUCUGUGCGAUGCCACGUGUGUACACCAGUAUAUGUGCACAGUAGUGCACGUGUGUGUCCUUAGCAUGCUUUCUGAGACUGGUAAGGAACGCAUGAGGUGACCAGCAACACUUUGUGGACAGCUCUUCGUUCCAAAGCAUUGCUUUGGAGCCGUUUGAUUUCAAAGAGAAGCUCUCCAAAUGGAUGUGUAUUCCUGCUCCGAGCCUUGGCUGACUCCAUCGUGGUAUCCACCCCAGCUGACUGGGAGAGGUGCGACUCAGGAGGCAGAGAAAGAUUCACCUCCCUCCAAACCCACUCAGAGGGACGGUGCACAUCUGCUCCCUGUGCCUGCACUAUCCGUGUCCUCACUGUGUACGUGUGUCCUCACCAUGUGCCCCACAUCAGCGCCUCGUCUGUCCCCACAGCACACACAUGUCCCUCCCGUGUGCGCAUCUCCAGCUCCACAUCCCAAACCAGCACCCGACCCACCGUGGUGUUGGGGCAGGAUUCCCAUUUCUGGAGGGUUUAUCCCACAUUCCUGGAUGAGAAUUCUGAUUCCAAAGUGUUUCAUUCUGCUUUCUGAGGGAGGAUUCCUAUUUCUGGAAGUUUUACCCUUCCUCUACCUCUGAAGGUUUUCAUUCCUUCUUCUGGGGAUAAUUCUUGGAUCUGAAGGGUUUUCACCAACCUCUGGGAGGAGAUUUCCCAUUUCCAAAUGUUUUUGUCAUCAUUUCUGGUAGAAUUAUCAUUUGUGGAUGUAUUUAUCCAAACUUUUGUGAAAAAUUCCCCAAAUUCUUGGGGAAAAUGCAGCCCCAGGAGCAGGAGAUCCAGCCGGAGAAGGACAGAUGAACGGAUGGCCAAUGUACUGGUGCAAACCGUCUCCAAACCACUGAAAAAAAUGAAAUGGUAAC